AGCGAACGCUGGCGGCGUACUUAACACAUGCAAGUCGAACGGGGAUCGUCGGUGUAGCAAUACAUCGGCGGUUCUAGUGGCGCACGGGUGAGUAACACGUGGGUAACCUGCCCUUGAGUUCGGGAUACCCUUUCGGAAGGAAGGCUAAUACCGGAUACGUUCCUCGGAUUGCGAAAUCUGGGGAGGAAAGGUGGCGCAAGCUGCCGCUCUUGGAGGGGCUCGCGGCCUAUCAGCUAGNGGUGAGGUAACGGCUCACCAAGGCUAUGACGGGUAGCUGGUCUGAGAGGACGACCAGCCACACGGGAACUGAGACACGGUCCCGACUCCUACGGGAGGCAGCAGUGGGGAAUUUCCGCAAUGGGCGAAAGCCUGACGGAGUGACGCCGCGUGGGGACGAAGGCCUUCGGUU
rnacentral:rRNA from 1 species